UACGGGGGGGGCAAGCGUUGUUCGGAAUUACUGGGCGUAAAGGGUUCGUAGGUGGCUUGUUAAGUCAGACGUGAAAUCCCUCAGCUUAACUGGGGAACUGCGUCUGAGACUGGUGAGCUUGAGUGCAGGAGAGGAACGCGGAAUUCCAGGUGUAGCGUUGAAAUGCGUAGAUAUCUGGAGGAACACCGGUGGCGAAGGCGGCGUUCUGGACUGCAACUGACACUGAUGAACGAAAGCCAGGGGAGCAAACGGG
rnacentral:rRNA from 1 species